rnacentral:lncRNA from 1 species
CGUCUGUUCUUACUAAUUUUAACAAGACAGUUUCUGUAGACAGUACAAUAACUAGUUUUGAAGAUAAUUUUAUACCAAAUGAUAAUGAAGAUCAGCUGUUAUUUCGCGCUUCUCAGGAAAUCGUUGAAACUGCAUUAAACGACAUUGCUAACUAUGAAAUAGUACAAAUAAAUAGCAAUACAAAUACUACAACCAUUACUCCAGAAGUUCCUAUUGAAUCAAUUUCUAGCACUACUGCUGAUGUUAACACUUUCCCAAAUAUAGAUAUUGCUCAAGGUUAUAGACGGCAAUGUUCUCUUCCAUCUAUUCUUAACAAUGCAAACAUCAAAGGUGACGUAAUCAUAAAUUACAUGCAUCCAAAUGAGGGACAAAAGGAAAAUAAGAAACCAAAUACUUGCAAGAGAAAAUGGGUGAUUUAUGACACAGAUUCAGAAUAGAACUCAUUACAAAAUCAUCAAAAGACCCAUUUUCUUUCUCUAGUAUAUUGUUUAACACUACAUAGUAAAAGUACAUUACAUGUAAUUGCUU